UGAGUUUCCCGUUCGUGCUUCAAGCUGGAGAACACGCUUUUGUUGUCAGUUUCCAAGAUAACUUCACAGUAGUCUCUCUCUUUCAUAAACUUUAGGGCUUCGAGGACUGCUAGGGUUUCAGCUUGUGCGCUUGAUUCCGCCCAAAUGUUCUUCGAGAAUCCAUCUAAUAGGGUGCCGGAGGAGUCCCGCACAACACAAGCCACGGCUCCCUUCGUUGAUCCUUCCCCGAGCGAUCCGUCAACGUUCAGUUUGAGGCAUCCGGGCUUCGGUGCUUGCCAGAUCUAUCACUUUGCAAGCCUCUGUGUUGGUUCCUCGAAAGAUGAAAUCAUUUCGGCUCUUCCAUACCUGCCAUAGGAGGGUGCCGAUUGUCUCUAGAGAGGGGAGGCGAUUCCACACCCCUGCAACCCAAGGACAGAGGAGAAGAGUAUGUUCGGUCGUCUCCACCGUGGCUCUACAUAAGUCACAUAGCGGGUCAAGUGAGAUUCUUCUUUUCCAUAGAUUCUCCUUAGUUGGUAGAGCGUUUUGACAAGCCCGCCAUAUGAAAAACUUCACUUUUGGGUUGAUUUUCAUGUGCCAAAUUGCAUGCCAUAAUGCUGAUGGGGUUUGGUAUGAUGAGAAAGGGUGCUGAUUGGCUGUGUUUUUUGUGAUGUUGUCUCUCAGUAAGUUGUACCCGUUCUUAAUUGUGAAUGACCCAUGUUGUGUGCUCGUCCAUACCAGUUCAUCAUUAAAAAAAGAACCAUUGAUUGGUGUUGCAAGAA